UGGGGAAUUUUUCGCAAUGGGGGCAACCCUGACGAAGCAACGCCGCGUGGGUGAUGAAGUAUUUCGGUACGUAAAACCCUUUCGACGGGGACGAAACCGCAAGGUUGACGGUACCCGUAGAAGAAGCCCCGGCUAACUCCGUGCCAGCAGCCGCGGUAAUACGGGGGGGGCAAGCGUUGUUCGGAAUUACUGGGCGUAAAGGGCGCGUAGGCGGUUCGCUAAGUUGGAUGUGAAAACUCUGGGCUUAACCCAGAGCCUGCAUCCAAAACUGGCAAACUUGAGUACUGGAGGGGAAAGCGGAAUUCCUGGUGUAGCGGUGAAAUGCGUAGAUAUCAGGAGGAACACCGGUGGCGAAGGCGGCUUUCUGGACAGUAACUGACGCUGAGGCGCGAAAGCUAGGGGAGCAAACAG
rnacentral:rRNA from 1 species